UCUUAUUUUUUUUUUCCUUACCUCCUUAGAAUCUGACAGGCCAGAGAGAAUUCUGAUUUCAAAGGGAUGCUUACAUUCUGUACUGAUGCGGUCUAGGAAUGUAAAUGUUCAGUGUCACACUGCUAAGAAAGGAAAUCUCUCUGUAGUCAUACUGAAAGAUGGUAAUAGAGGAAGACAUCACUUUGAGUAGCUGUUCAUAAAUGGAAGAACCUUCCUCAGCACUGAAGAAGCCAAGAAAGACAUCACAGCUGUUGCUUUAGCAUAUGAGAAAAAGAAUCAUUGGAGGAAACAGAAAAAGAUCUGCCCAGGUUCGUUGCAACCCCCAGUUCUAAGCUGCAGAGGUAUGACUUUCAGUUUGAAUGAAGGAGAAAGAAUACAGCAUGGGUCUUAGAUUUGGAAGCCAAUAUUGAAUCCAGAAUGGAGAACAUCAGUACCUACAAGAGUCCCACGAUCCCUGGCUGAAGGCCAGUGUCUGUAAAGGAAGCCUCUGAAUUAGCAUCUAUCUGAUAGCACGGGAACUGCCAGAGUUAGCCCAAACAAGAGCAUGGAAAAAGACUCCAUUCAUUUGAAGAUGGGACGAACAAGUAUGCCUAGGACUUUACAUUCAAGGAAGCGCUUACUGCAGUGAAAAUGAACACCUAGCAAAUAUCUGUAAAACAGCUGCCCAUGCCAAAGCUGAUGGACAUGGGCUCUGGCCCCAACCUGUUAGAGUCAUGAGGUCCCAGUGGGAUGGACUUGUAUUCUAACCAGCACUACUUCUGGCAAAUGCAGAUUUCUUCAGACACAACUCUGGACUCCAGAAACAUGGCCCUGGAGCCUAUCCUUCUGUUUGUUGUUAAUGGUGGGCUCUGAUGAUCCACUAUGAACUUGUGUUGUAGAUCUGGGAGUUAAAAGGCUUCCAGGUUCGUUUUUACCACAACUCCAACAACCACAAAGGAGAAACCCACUAGCUGCUUGGGAAAAGAGAAAGGGGGUAAAUGUGAGUGAUGGCGAAGGGCCCUAGAGCCAGACUCACCACCAGAGGGUCCCACAUCAGAAGAAUUUUAUGGCUCCUGACCCAAGAAUGGAAUUAGGAGAUAAGGCUGGACCCAUUCCAGCCUGAAGUAGGGAUUUGGGGAUACAGGACAUCCCUUUGAAACACAGCCUCCCUCAGUCUUGAAUAGCACACUACUUGUAGAUUUAUGACAGACUUGGUGUGGAAGCGCCCUCUAGUGAUGAAAUAGCUGCAUUUAACAACAGGCUCAGAGAAAAGCAUCCAGGAACCCUUAGAAACAAACAUGGAUUACGAAAAUGAGAACAUAUAGCUAAUCUUUCAGUAUGUGUAUGUCUUUAUUUUUGUAUUUUCUCUUAUUGAAAAUAGUUUUUUUUUCUUUUUUCUUUUUUUUUUUAGGUUUUUUGAGACAGGGUUUCUCUGUGCAGCUUUGCGCCUUUCCUGGAUCUCGCUCUCUAGACCAGGCUGGCCUCGAACUCACAAAGAUCCGCCUGCCUCUGCCUCCCGAGUGCUGGGAUUAAAGGCGUGCGCCACCACCGCCCGGCGAAAAUAGUUUUUUAAUCAAGAAUUUUUUUAUUCAUUUUAUAUACCAAUCAUAGAUUCUCCUCUCUUCCCUCCUCCCGCCCACCCCCAGCUUUCUCCCUCAAUCCAUCCCCUCAUCCCCUUCUCCGAAAAGAUAAGACCUCCCAUGGGGAGUCAGCACAGCUUGGUACAUUCAACUGAGGUGGGGACAAGCCGCUCCUGCUACAUCAAGACUGUGCAAGGUGUCCCAUCAUAGGUAAUGGGCUCCAAAAUGCCAACUCAUGCAUCAGGGAUGGACCCUGAUCUUACUGCCAGGGGGCCCCUUAAGCAGAUCAAACUACACAACUGUCUCGCUUAUGCAGAGGGCCUAGACUAGUCCCAUGGAACCUCCACAACUGUUGGUCUAAAUGUCAUGAGUUCCCACUAGUUUGGUUUGGUCGUCUCUGUAGAUUUCCCCAUCAUGAUCUUAAUGCCCCUUACUCAUAGAAUCCCUCUUCUCUCUCUUUGACUGGACUCCUGGAGCUCAGCCUGGUGUUUGGCUAUGGAUCUCUGCAUCUGCUUCCAUCAGUUACUGGAUGAAGGCUCUAUAAUGACAGUUAGGGUAUUCACUGAUCUGAUUACUGGGGUAAGUCACCUCAGACCCUCUCUCUACUAUUGCUAGUUAUCUCAACUGGGGUCAUCCUGGUGGAUUCUUGGGAACUUCCCUAGCACCAGGUUUCUCUCUGUCUCCAUGAUGUCUCCCUCUAUCAAGGUAUCUUUUCCAUUGCUCUUUCAUUCCAUCCCUGUUCCAGCUUGACCAUCCCAUUCCCUUAUGUUCUCAUCCCCCAUCCCCUGCCCUCCAUUGCCCACCCCUCAUCCCCAGUUUACUCAUGUAGCUCUCAUUUAUUUACCCUUCCCAGGGAGAUUCAUGCUUCCCUCUUUAGGUCCUCCUUGUUAGUUAGAGUCUCUGGAGCUGUGGGUUUUAGUCUCAUUAUCCUUUGCUUUACAUUUAGUAUCUACUUAUGAGUGAGUACAUACCAUGUUUGUCCUUCUGAGUCUGGGUUAUUUCACUCAAGAUAUUUUCUAGUUCCAUCCUUUUGCCUGCAGAUUUCAUGAUGUCAUUGUUUUUAAUUGCUGAAUAGUACUCCAUUGUGUGUAUGAACCACAUUUUCUUCAUCCAUUCUUCAGUUGAGGGGCAUCUAGGUUGUUUCCAGGUUCUGGCUAUUAUGAAUAAUGCUGCUAUGAACAUAGUUGAGCAAGUGUCCUUGUGGUAUGAUUGAACAUUCCUUGGAUAUUUGCCCAAGAGUAGUAUCAUUGGGUCUUGAGGUAGAUUGAUUCCUAAUUUUCUGAGACACCACCACACUGAUUUCUAAAGUGGCUGUACAAGUUUGCACUCCACCUGUAGCACAAAUCUUAAAGAGUCUUGUUAAUAAAAACAAACCUGGAGCCAGGUAUUGGGGUGAAUGCUGGAAGAUCAGAGAAGCAGAACAAGCCACAGUCACCUCACCUUGCCAAUUCCUCAGCUGAUCCUGUUUCCUCAGACUGUAAGCUUCUGAGUCCUCAUCCAAAUAGAUCUCAGCUGAACUGCUUUUCGAAAGCCUGAAAGCUUAACCAGCCUAGUUCCUGGUUUUCACGCCUUAUAUACCUUUCUGCUUUCUGCCAUUACUUCCUAGGUUUAAAGGCUCUUGUUACCAUGCCUGGCUCUUUCCAGUGUGGCCUUGAACUCACACAGAUCCAAAUGGAUCUCUGCCUCCCAAGUGAUACGAUUAAAGGCAUGUGUGUAACCAUUUUCCAGCCUCUAUAUCUAGUGGCUGUUCUGUUCUCUAACCCCAGAUAAGUUUAUUAGGGUGCACAAUAUUUUGGGGAACACAAUACCACCACACCCAUCAACAGUGGAGGAAUAUUCCCCCCUGCUCCACAUCUUCUCCAAUAUUAGCUGUCUUCAGUGUUUUUGAUCUUAGCCAUUCUGACAGGUGUAAGAUGGUAUCUAAGAGCCGUUUUUAUUUGCAUUUCCCAGAUGACUAAGGAUGUUGAGCAAUUCCUUAAAUGUCUUUCAGCCAUUUGAGAUUCUUCUGUUGAGAAUUCUCUGUUUAGCUCUGUAGCCCAUUUUUUAAAUUGCAUGUUUUUUUGUUACUGACUUAUAGUUUUGUCACACUGUUCAGAGUGGAUAUUUGGUAUAAUGUUAUUUUAAGAAUCAUUUGUGGCUGACCACUUUCUGUAUCCUCAAGAGUGUUCCAUGUGCUAUGGAUUCAAAUGCAUGUUCUUUUGGUGUUAAAUGGCAUGCCCCUCCAGCUUAACUAAGCUUUGACUGAAUGGUCCGCUCCUUGUUGAAAGUGGGUACUCAUGUCCCCUCUUCUUACUGUAAUCUACUGGAGUCUAUCUAUCCUUUAAUUCUAUCUUUGUUGCUUAUUUUUAUAUACUUGGAUACUGGACAUAUACAAUUAACUGUCAUUUCCUCUUCUUAAAUAGACUCCUUUACAGAGGGUUACAGGUAUGUGUCACCUUGCUUGGUCAUUAUAAGUUAUUGACAAUGAUAAAUUUUCCAAAUCCAUACUAUAAAGCCUCAAAAUAGACCAUUAAACAAGUGGAAAAUUAUAACUCAAUGUCCCUUAUGACUAUAAAUGUAAGCUAGAAUCUUUCAAAAGUACACAUGGUCCAGCAGCCAACUGAAAUGAUUGUUCACCAUGAUUAUGUAAGAUUCAUCCCAGGCCUGCAGGAUGAGUCAACAUAUGGAAACCAAUAAGCAUGAAGCACUACAUCAAUUAGGAUGAAUAACAGAAAUAUGAAGACCAUCUGAAUGAUGAAGAAAAGACAUUUGGUAAAUUUAAAUAAAUUGUUGUGAUAAAAAAAUGCUUAACAGAUUGGUGACAGGGUGGAUAUAAUAAAGUCUACAUACAUUAAUGCCAGCGUUAAUUCACACUGAAUGGGGGAAACCGAAAAACUGGAAGGAAAUGAAGAUGCUCACUUCAUCACCUUUAUUCAAGUCUUAGCAGAGAAACAGGGCAAAAGAAAGAAUGAAAGUCAUUCACACAAGAAAGAAGGGAAUUCAGCCGUUACUAUACACAGAUGGCAUGAUUCUACGUGCAGGAAAAUGUCAGUGACUCCACCACAAAUGAUUAGAACUAGUAAACAAAUUUAACAAAGUUAUGGGCUAAAUAUACAACAUACAAAACCUACAGCAUUCCUAUGCACUAAGAGCAAAUGGCAUGAAACAGAAAUUUAAAAAAAGAAAGCCCCAUUCACAGUAGCUACUAAUCUUACACUACCUAGACACAAAUUUAACUAAAGGGGUGCAAAGUCUUCAAAAUGAAAACUUCUGUAUUAGUUACUUUUCUGUUGCUGUGAUAAAACACCAUGGCCAGAGGAACUUAGAGAAGGAAGUUUAUUUUGGCUUAGGGUACUAGAUUAAUAAGAGUCUCUCAUGGCAGGAAGGUGUGGCAGGAAGCAGAAGGAAGCUGAGAUCUCACAUCUUCUAGUGCAAGAAGUUGCUCGAGGUUUUUAAUCUCAAAAGCAGGCUUAACCACCUAAAUCACAUCAAACAGCACCUUUGACUAAGUGUUCACAUUCAUGAGACUCUAGGAGAUAUUUUUUUUCUCCCAAACAGGACAAGUCUAAAACGUUGCUGAAAGAAAAAAAAAAUUAAGACAACCCAUGAUAAUACCUGGAAAAGUCAAUGUGGUUUGUAGAUUAAAUACAGUUUCUGUCCAAGUAUCAAUGACGUCCUUAAAAGAAGAAGAUAAAGAUUUUGAUAAAUGUAUACAAAUAGGCCUGUGUUCAGAAAAUGGUUACAAGAGAAAUCUCUGCACCUUCCUUUAAAAUUUUUUCUGAACAUAAACUACUUUAAAAAUGUUUUAAAAUAGUUGAAAAUGGAAAUUGGAUAAAAAAGACAGAUUUUUUUAAAAUUUAUGCAUUUUUCCUCAAAUUUGAAUAAAAAUCAUGCCUAUUUUAAAAUAGAGAAAAAGUAGAAAAAAUAUUCAGAGAUUUUUGUCACAAAUCUCUUAUGGCUAUGUAAUGAAGUGGUGCUUUUGAAUAAAUAAAUAUUAAAUCUGUGCUUUCGCAUCACAUUUAAUUUCAUAAAUUCCAUAGUGCCAAAGCGAUUAUUUUCCAUACUCAUCAUUGUCAUAAUUUUCUUGCUUAGGCAACUUUUCACUUCUUUCCAGUAAUUUGAAGUAUCACGUUAUUAAAAAUGAUGGAGGGCGUGGUCAAGAGAGUGAAAGUUAUGCUGGUAUUCCCCAAAGGAGAUAGGGGACAAAAUCCCCAUUCCCAACUUGUGAUCUCUAGUACCAAGAAGUUCUGUUUAGAGUGUAUACAACUUUACCUCAUAAUUUCCAGAGAACUAAAGAUAAGCAUGUGUCAAAAUUUUACCUACUUCAUUGAAGAGGGAACUAGCAACUUGGAAAGGCAAGCUCAAAUUACAUUGGGAAGAACACAAGUACUUUUGGCAGAGAGAAAAGCAGACUUCAAACCAGAAUGCUAAUUUAAAUACAAAACCGGUGUAGACACUGAGCGCUCUCAGGUCAGCCAAUCUAGCUGAAAGAGUGGACUCAAGGUUCAGUGAGACAGCCUAUCUCAAAAAGAUAAUGAAGUAUGACGGAGGAAGACAUGUGGUAUAAAACACUGACUGACAAAUAUCCAUGAAUAGGUUAGCACACAUGCAUGUGCAUCACACACACACACACACACACACACACACACACACACACACACACACACACAGAGUCACCCAUGACACUUUUCUUUAUUAUCAUCAAUGCAGUUAGUUUUGAAAGAGCCUUUUCCUACCAGGUGAUUGGAAAUGUAGUUGGUAUUAUUUUCACUAUAAGAUAAUAUAACUUGCUUUCUCUUGUAUGACCAUGUGGUCCAAAAAAAUAGAUGGAAGCAUGGUCACAGGUCUGUAGACCUUUUGCAAAGAGGGAUAGCACCAACUAUUGUGCUCAUAUUUAAUUAUAACUUUAGGAAAGGGAUUCCAUAAUCAGAACUCAAAUCGUCAUAAUUGGUGCAAAUUGCAGCAGCAUGCACUCUAGGUCUUGAGAGAUCAUCUUCCCAAUAAGGCUGCUCCCCUCUGAGAGAGACCAGGAAGGUUAAUGUCCCCUGAGAAUGACCAUUUCCCCACUGUCCACCUGCAACAAAUCAUAGCUCUGUGUUCUGAAAGAACAAAGCCAAACUCAAGCAAAACAAAAGAAAUCCUAGAUUAGGACAUUUUGAUGGUGGUUUCUCAUGUAUGUUAGUUACUCCCAGGAUAAGCACGUAUUUCUUUGUAUUCUGGCUGGCUAUAGCAUUCACAGUUGAUGUACAACAUAGAAAGAAGUUUAAGUCUAAAGAAUGCUGCUAUUUCAUGAGCAUCUUCUAACUUCCAUGGCUGGUCCAAGCAAUUUAUUCACAAGGAGGCCAACUUUCUUCAAAACUUAGAGAAACAAAGGAAUAAAAAUGCAUUUUUUUAAACUUUGAAUUUUCUUAUCUGAAUUUCUAAGUAAAUCCUCAACUGUGGGGCAAGUGGAGGUUGGUCCCGUGGUAGAGGGACAUUGGAGAUAGAGAGCUAAUUUAGAGGUUUGGCUCUAAUGAACUUCUCAGAGCAGAGUAUAACCAUGGGGCUUUAGUACUUUUGUGCAUAUGCCUAGCACAGUUUGUAUAUUAAUAAAUAGCAGAUUCACUGAGCUAAAUUUUUUAAUGACCAACAACAAAAAGUUGGUUUUGACUAACUUUGCCAGAUUAAUGACUGAAUUAUCUUUAUUCUCGAUAGUUUAUGAUGUAGUUGUAUCACUGUUAUAUGAAACAGAUCACUGAAGACUAUUCAAUGAAAAAUAUAUUUAAAAAAAAACUACAAGGUGGAUAUACUGUUUUCUAGAUGUUGAGACGGUCUUCAAAUUUAAAUUU